AUGGCACAUUUCAUACCAUCCAACAAGAUAGACGAUGCUUCACAUGUUGCAAAUCUUUUUUGUAGGGAAAUCUUGCGCCUACAUCGAGUGCCAAAGACGAUUGUCUCGCACCGCGACAUCAAGUUCUUAAGCUACUUUGGGAAGACCUUAUGCGCUAGGCUUGGAAUCAAGCUCUUGUUCUCUUCGGCAUACCAUCCUAAAACCGACGGCCAAACGGAGGUGACAAACCGAACACUCUCCACUCUACUAUGCAUGUUGAUCAAGAAGAACAUCAAGCAGUGGGAGGAGUGCCUAACCAUCGCCGAGUACGCCUACAACUGUGCAAGACGUUCAACUACCGGCAAGUCCCCCUUCGAGGUCGUCUACGGCUUCAACCCGUUGUCCCCAUUGGACAUUCUUCCUCUACCACUACAAGAGCGCAUUAACAUGGACGCGAGUGCCCAAGUGAGCUACCUCAAGAAGAUGCAUGAAGAUACAAGGCACACCAUCGAGCGCCAAGUACAAAGACUCGCGACCAAGCUCAACAUCAACAAGCAACCCAUGGUAUUCAACAUUGGAGAUCUUGUGUGGCUACACCUUCGCAAGGAAUGCUUCCCCAACGAACGCAAGUCAAAACUUCUACCACAAGCCGAUGGACCCUUCAAGGUGCUUGAACGCUACAACAACAAUGCCUACAAGAUGGACAUCCCACGCGACAAGUUCUCCAUGAGCGACAUCUUCAACGUCAAAGAUCUCUCCCCGUACCAUGGUGAUGAGGAUUUUGAUAUGAGGUCAGAUCUUUCCCAAGGGAGGGGUGAUGAUGCGGAGCAUCCUAUGGUCAUCCCCAUGGCCUAUCAUCGUCUCACCAAGUGCCAAGAGGACCGAUGA
rnacentral:rRNA from 1 species